AGUGUGAUUGGAGUAGCAGAAGAGACUAGAAGAUGGGGAUGAAGAAGGAAUCGGGUGAGAGCAAAGGAAGGCCGUGAAGCCAUUGUCAGAAAUUUGUCCUUUAUCCUGACUGAGCAGAAGAAACACUGAAGGAUUUUGAGCAGAGGCAUGUCUUGAUUUCAUUUCAUUUUUAGAGGUAUAGAUAAUUCAGGCUGCUAUUUUGAGACUCGACUGAGAAGAGGUGUGUACUGGCACCCGUUUCCUACAGAUGUGUCCCUCCACUCUUUGAAGCCGAGGGCAAAAUCAUGCUGAAGACCUAGAAAUCCCACCAGUCUGAAGACCAGCUGCAACCACAAUGGGUUAGCCCUUUUCAGGAUGCCUCCUCUUCAGCAUAAAGCAGCCAGAAAGAUUGAUGACCAGCUUCCCCAGGAUUGAGGAACUGAUAAGUGGAAAGAGGGGACUGAAACCACCCCAAUUGUCCCGUAGAAUUGAUGUUUAUGAUCUUUUGGAAUAAACAUAGAUAUUGACCCUCAUGGUCUUAAAGAUUGAAAUGUACAUUGCCUGAGUUCCUUCCUCAGAAAACAAAAACUCAGGGCUCUGAGUAUCAAGGAACUGAAACUCACCAGGUCACCACAUCCAGACAAUGAGACAACAGACCCCUUAUUCAUCAUGAUUACUUCCUUCCCCCUC
rnacentral:lncRNA from 1 species